GACGUAGGAUGCAAGCGUUGUCCGGAUUUAUUGGGCGUAAAGAGUUCGUAGGUGGUUUGUUAAGUCUGAUGUUAAAGACUGGGGCUCAACCUCGGAAAUGCAUUGGAUACUGGCAGACUUGAGUGUGGUAGAGGCAAUCGGAAUUCCAGGUGUAGCGGUGAAAUGCGUAGAUAUCUGGAAGAACACCGGGUGGCGCAAGCGGAUUGCUGGGCCUAACUGACACUGAGGAACGAAAGCUAGGGGAGCGAAUGGG
rnacentral:rRNA from 1 species